rnacentral:tRNA from 1 species
AACUAGAAAGCGAAGUAUUGCAGUUAGUUUCGACCUAACUUUUGGUGGGGUUCACCUCUAAUUA